UACGUAGGGGGCAAGCGUUGUCCGGAAUUAUUGGGCGUAAAGAGCGUGUAGGCGGUCCGGUAAGUCAGCUGUGAAAGUCAAGGGCUCAACCCUGGGAUGCCGGUGGAUACUGUCGGGCUCGAGUCCGGAAGAGGAGUGUGGAAUUCCUGGUGUAGCGGUGAAAUGCGCAGAUAUCUGGAGGAAUACCGGUGGCGAAGGCGGCAUCCUGGACCGACAUUGACGCUGAGGAGCGAAAGCUAGGGGAGCAAACGGG
rnacentral:rRNA from 1 species